GCAGAGUAGGUAGUUUGCGUAAAGUGUUGGAGGAUGGAACGUUGCCUCUGAACGAAGAGCUAUUAAGUAGCUUGCGUUAGACUAUCGCGUUCGCUG
rnacentral:ncRNA from 1 species